rfam:Clostridium sp. ASF502 genomic scaffold acMal-supercont1.11, whole genome shotgun sequence.
GGGCGCCGGAUGCGGUGAAAGUCGCAUGUCCGGUGCUAGCCGGGGGAAAAGCUGGAGAUAACAUCAAAGGCUUACCUAUCGGAAC